rnacentral:lncRNA from 1 species
GCUGAUAGCAGCUGCAAUAGUCAUAUGAAUUCAGAUGUGGAGGAUCAUGUCACGGAAUUGACUGUUGAAGAGGUGAAGUUUUCGACUUUUUUGUUUUCUGUAAGCUUUCAGUUUGUAGUUUCUAUAUGUUCCCUUUUAAUGUCUGAGUGUAACUGUUUUUUGAAUGCGUUUGUUUGCUUACAUUGUGUUCUAGGCAAAUGCACUGGUGGAUGGGA